GGGGACAGCAAUACCGACAUGCAGUAAUGAGGAUGGCACCAGUAUAAAGCAACACACUCCAUGCACUAAACAGAAGCUGCUGCCUGCUACAACAAGGUCAUUGUGUGGACUUUGGCUGCUACUACAAGAGUCUGUGCCAAGUACAUCUUGGUCAUCACGGGAGCCCCCAUCUACACCAACAGGAAGGGGCUGGAGCUGAAUUCGCAAGACCACAAACAAAGAAGCCAUUCCAGAAUUAUUUGGAUGAGAUAUCAAGUCUACGGACGACUGUUUCAAGAGUGAAAAGAGCCUACGCCAUCAUUCCACCAGCACGGAUAUUGGCCGAGUCAUCCAGGUACCUCAACAACCAAAAUUAUUUGUCUUCAGAUGUACCUGCAACCUCUGAAUAAGCACAGAUGACGCUGGCUAAGAGUGUUCUGUCAGCUUGCCCUUCCUUAGUGAGCUUCCUGGCCUUGCCAGUUCUUGCCAAGUAUAAUUUUGUUUCAAUGAAUGCAAGCUUUUUCAUUCCACACUUUUGUUAGAGAUCAUUCCUAUUCCUCAUACAAACAAUGAAGGUCAACCGAUUCUUUGCUCAUACUUAAUGCCAGUCACUGUCUAGUAGCAUAACACGUGUAGCAGUUCUUUCUAGUGUAUGUUGCCAUGUGCAAUUCCUCUCCUGAAAUAGCUGAUGCAGCAUUGGCGUGUGUCUUGCAUUAACCUUUACACUGUGUGCUAUGUAGCAUUUAACUUUUGUUAAUGUUUUUGGCUUUCAAUGCUUGCAAGGUAGAGUGGCUUCUUUCUUGAAUGCAAGCUUUCUCAUUCCCAUAUUGAAUUCCUAGUCUCAUUCAGGAUUGCUAUUCUUGCUCGACAGCCUGUGUUUUUGUGAAAGCUACAUUGAAGUGAUUGAUUGCAGAAUCUGGUUUCGGCGCUGUCCGACUUGGUACUUGUCACCGUGUUACAUUUCUCAUAUGUGGGAGCCUGGUCAGUUGCAUUGGGAAACAGUCUCUCGAGGCAAGCACCUGCUCCUACAGUCCGCACAGUGACAUAGACUGCGAAUUUACACGCACACCGUGGUUGGUGCUCCCCGUUCCGUCCUUUCCUGCUGCUGCCGUGUGCAAAUUUUGCUUGUGGUCUUCCUCGGCCAUGAUUUGGCGUCAACGGAGACUCUCAUACAUAAUUACAUGGUUCUAAGUGUAUGAAGUUGAUAUCCACAUGUGUGGAAAGGCCUGCAAAAGUGACUGCAACAUAGUGAUGUUCACAAAACCGACCAUGCCCAUAUAUAGAGAAUGUGGGGGACCAAGUGUGAGUUACACAUUAGUGGCAUGCAAAAGAACAAAAAGAAACAUGCAGGUUGGAAAGGCGGUAACGCUAAAAUGCCGGGCACUCCAUGUCGCUGUUGGCUGUGGCAGCAGAUGCUUGCGUCACCCGAUUGCUUCGCAAUGCAAGCUGCUCAUAUUCAACGCCGACUGUCGGUGCAAACAUGUGGGACACACUGUCCAAUCUGCUUGCGCUGCUGGUUGUUGCUUGUUACCAGACUGCAGUGUGCGACGAAGGCAAGCACUAUGCCUACAGUCGGACGGUUGAAUGUGCCGCAAGCAACCCGUGUGCGUGUAUGCUCACUGUUGUCAUGUAGAUCGUAGCCAAUGCAUAGUGCCAAUGUAUAGAUUGAGCAUUAUGUUAGAGUAUGCUGAAGUGAUUUGAUUGCAUAAUCUUGUUUCAAUGUUGUCCCACUUGGUCAUGGUUGCCGUGUUACAUUUCUGGGAUGUGGCAGCCUGUUCAGUUGUAUUGGCCAAUGGCUUCUCGAGGUAAGCACCUGCUCCUGCAGUCCACACAGUGACACAAACUCCCUGUUUACAUGUAGUGUGAUUGGUGCUCCCUGUUUGUCCUUUCCUGCUGCAGCCGUGGGUAAAGCAUGCU